CUGUUAGACUGGAACUGUAGUUGGCCCAAACUAAAACGAUACAAAACUGAAUAAUGAAUGACAUUUUCUAAGUUUUUAGAAAACCUGUAGGUUCUGACUGGAAGAAGCAAAUGCUUAGGGAAGCUGACCCAGAUGAAUGACGCCCAAGAAAGGGAGAAUAAACUUGGUUUACAACUCAAUUUCAAGUUUUCUCCUUUUGGCCUGGGACAUGGAACUCAGACUUCUCUUCUGUGAAUUCUGACAAUGGGCCUGAAGAUGCAGGUUCCAAUUGAACGAGGGUCCUAAUUGCUGUCAGGUGAAAAGGCAAUGUGAGCACCAUCUAGAAUCCCAUUAAUAAUAGAGGUCUGUAGUACAUUCCACCAGGCACUGACCUGGGAGCUGUCCUGUCCAACGUUUGUACAAAUGGUUUAGUUAACAACAUUGAUGACAGGUGCCUGGCUGGCUCAGUCGGUAGAGCAUCUAGCUCUUGAUCUCAGGGUUGUGAGUGGGAACCCCAUGUUGGGUGUAGAGAUUACUUUAAAAAUUAAUUAAAAAAAAAAGAACAUUGAUGACAGGUGAUCACAUGUGUAGAUAACAAGAAUAUGGGAGAGACAAUAUAUUGUUGGAGAGGAGAAUCAGAAUGCAAAGAGAUCUUGAUAGGCUAGAUCAAAUCUAACAAGAUUUAGGGUUUUAUUUUUUUUAAUUUUAGAGAGACAAGGAGAGAACAGGGGAGAGGGGCAGAAGAAGAGAGAGAAAAUCCCAAGCAGGCUCCACACUCAGCUUGGUGCCCGACACAGGGCUUGAUCCCACGACCCUGGGAUCAUGACUUGAGCCGAAAUCAGGAGUCAGGUGCUCAAACUACUGAGCCAUCCAGGCACCCCACAAGACUUAGUUUAAGUGGAUUAAAUGUAAAGUAUAGCGCAAAGGUUAUGUAUGUGUAUACUCUGUAGGCAAUAUAGAAUAAUGUUUUGAAAAUUACUUAGGAGACUGAACAGAAAUAUGGGCAAAGUAGGCAAUUAAAAUAGAGGACAUAGGGGCACCUGUGUGGCUCAGUCGGUUAAGUGUCUGACUUUACCUCACUCAGGUCAUGAUCUCAUGGUUCAUGAGUUUGAGCCCUCCAUUGGACUCUCUCUGUGGUGUCAGUGCAGAGCCCGCUUCAGACCCUCUGUCUCCCUGUCUCUUGCUCUUUCAAAAAUAAAUAAGCAUUAAAAAAAAAAAAA